rnacentral:rRNA from 1 species
AUACGGAGGAUGCAAGCGUUAUCCGGAUUUAUUGGGUUUAAAGGGAGCGUAGGCGGACGCUUAAGUCAGUUGUGAAAGUUUGCGGCUCAACCGUAAAAUUGCAGUUGAUACUGGGUGUCUUGAGUACAGUAGAGGCAGGCGGAAUUAGUGGUGUAGCGGUGGAAUGCUUAGAUAUCACGAAGAACUCCGAUUGCGAAGGCAGCCUGCUGGACUGUAACUGACGCUGAUGCUCGAAAGUGUGGGUAUCAAACAGGAUUAGAUACCCUGGUAGUCCACACAGUAAACGAUGAAUACUCGCUGUUUGCGAUAUACAGUAAGCGGCCAAGCGAAAGCGUUAAGUAUUCCACCUGGGGAGUACGCCGGCAACGGUGAAACUCAAAUGAAUUGGCGGGG